GUUCACUACCGUGUAGGUAGUUUAGAAA
rfam:Gilliamella apicola SCGC AB-598-P17 SCG598P17_12127, whole genome shotgun sequence.